rnacentral:tRNA from 1 species
UGUAAAAUAGUGUAUGGAGCACGAAAGUCUUUGAUCCUUUAAGCCUUGGUUCAAUUCCAUAAUUUACAA